rnacentral:rRNA from 1 species
GACAGAGGGUGCAACCGUUGUUCGGAAUUACUGGGCGUAAAGCGUGUGUAGGCGGUCGCGCCAGUCGGAUGUGAAAGCCCUGGGCUCAACUCAGGAAGUGCACCCGAUACUACGUGGCUAGAGUACCGGAGAGGUUGGUAGAAUUCUCGGUGUAGAGGUGAAAUUCGUAGAUAUCGAGAGGAAUACCUGUGGCGAAGGCGGCCAACUGGACGAGUACUGACGCUGAGACACGAAAGCGUGGGGAGCAAACAGG